GCUCAAUAUUUUAGUCUUGAUAAAAUUGUUCCACUUAAUAGAGAAUUUAGACAAAAUAUAGAUUUUCAAAGGAGAACUGCAAACCCCCAGUUGCAAAAUUUAGAGAGCUAUAAUUUUAGGUAAAAAUGUCAUUUUUUUCAGUUUCCAGUGGAAAUUUGUCACCUAUUUCAAUUGUGGAUUGAGAAUUCUACUUCUGAUUGAGAAGAGAUAUAGUCAAAAUAAAGACUUUUCAGCUGAAUAAGAGCUAAGAAAAAUUUUUGUCAGCAGACAUGAGUUUAAAAAAAAAAUGUAAAGGAAGUUCAUCAGGCUGAAUGAAAUGAUGCCAGAUGGAUACUUUGAUUUAUAAGAAGAACAAGAAGUACUGGAAAAGGAAAUAUAUGACUAAUGGUCCAUUCAUAUUUGGAAAAAAGUUUUGUGCAGGGCUUGCCAGGACACUUGAGAUCCAGUCAUCUGUGCCCCCCAAAGUGGGUGAAUUGGUCAGCGGAGGAAGCAGUGGGGAGAGGGGCGUGCUGGCGACCUGGUGGUGGGAGACGCGUGACGCAGAGGAGGUGGAGAGUGAAGGCAGUGAGUUCAGCCUGGGCAUUUGUUUUGCAGCUGGAGGGACCUGUUGCUCUCUCUGAAGAGAAACCACAGUGACUGGAGGAGGGAAAUGAAAGGGAAGGAGGCAAAGGGCACCUAAGGAAAGUGUCUCCUGCCUUCCUACUUGGGUUCUGACAAAAGAGCAGUUCACAGACCUCUGGAAUCCCCCACUGCAGAAUCCCUGUAGCCGAAGGUGAGCACACUCAAAGCCCCAAGUGGUGUGUACAGACUCUCCCAACUCUGCCAUCACGUUUUUCUUCUGCCUUUUUCUUUUUCCCCUUUUAAAUGUAUACACCUCACCUUCAUGGGGGCGUGGCAGUGGGGCGGACCGCGCUGGUAAGAGAAACCAAAAACUUGUGCUGUAGCUCCACCUUCUGGAACAAAGAGGAAGGCUCCUAAUUACCAACCUGUUCAACUGUUCUUGUCAAAGUAAACAGAACCUUGCCUAAAAAGGGUUUGCUACUUCAAAUGAAGUAGCAGAAACACUCACUUUUCAUCAAACACUAUUAAAAAAAAAUCACAGUAAUAUCACAAAAAGAAGAUGAUAACUUUUUAUCCACUGAACUCAAAGAUAUGGAAUAUGGCAAUAAAGAAUUUAAAAUAGCUGCCAUGAAGAAAUGCAACCUGUUACAAAAGGACUUGGGCAAUAAAGUGAUCUCAGGAAUAAAAUCAGUGAACAAAAGGAAUACAUUACCAUGAGAGUGAAAUUCUAUAAAAGAG
rnacentral:lncRNA from 1 species